rnacentral:scRNA from 1 species
GGGUAACGUCUCGGGCAGGUAGUUGUUUUCCAAGGGU